rnacentral:lncRNA from 1 species
CUGUGCUUCCGGUAUCCAGCAGGAAACUGACCCAGCAGGACCUGAUCCUGGCAGGGACCUCAUGUGACCCAAGCCUCCAAGCCCUGACACAUGCUCCACUGUUCCAUAACAUUUUAUUACAAAACACACAUUCAAAGAUAAAAUUAUGAACAAUUUUAAGACAGCAACGGCUGAGCAUUAUACCCUGAAGGUGGGCUCCUCCUGAGUGUGGGGCCUGAGCAACUGCACUGGAGCCAGGAUGCUGAUUUGGAUCCUCAGUUAAUACUUUUCCUCUGUUUUAGAUGAUUGGAAAUUUGGGUGAGGAAGACAAAGGAAUAAUCACCCCCACCCUCCAAGAGCGCCCAACAAUUCUAUAAACUAGGUAGCCGGGUUCCUGCCCACUGCUCACAGGACCAGCUUUGUCUCAGGACACAGAGGCUCUAUUGGCCAGUGGAGCUAUAAAGACAUGAAGUCCUUCUAUCAAGGAAGCCAGAAGCAUGAAUGAGUGACCUCCAUUUUUGUGGUACAGAAACCAAGUCUUGCAGAAAAAGUGGAACAGACAAAUACAGGGAAACCAAGAAAGAGCUGAACAGAGGAAAUGCCUUUUAAGUCUUCUAAAGGUAAGUCUUCAUUUUACUUGAGUGCUAUGACUGAGUUUCUAAUCCUAGUGACCAGGCAAUUCCUGUCUCGGCCAUACCUAUGGCCCAACCAAAGUUCUGAGGGGUCAGGGAGCCUCUUAAUUCAGAAUCAAACUUUAUGACAGAACAAAACAAUAGGCUUUUGAACUUUUACACAGCCUCUGCUAAAUGCUACUAGAGAUAGAUGAAUAGACAUGCAUGAAGUUUACUAUGUGCCUGCCAGAUAUUUAAACCUUGUUAUUUAAUCCUCAC